rnacentral:misc_RNA from 1 species
UUAGGCAGGAAAGGGUGGUGUGUCCAGGUCUCGUCAAUAUACUCAAGAAUGACAAGUGAUUCUGCAAUUGGCUUUCCAUUGUGAACGAGGACAGGAACUUUUUUGUGAACUGGGUUAUAAUGAAGGAGCAAAGGACUCUUAUUGGAGAGGUCUUCCUCUAUGUAUUCAUACUUGAUCCCUUUUAGUUUCAGUGCUAGCUGUAUUCUGAGAGUGAAA